GAGAUUCUGUGUCGAUAUAAUCUUCAGGGCUAAAAUUAAGAAGCCGGCAGCAAUGAAUGAAUGAAAGGUAAACUAUACUAUACUGCCCUAUGACUUCAAGCUUGGCCAUGUGACUUGAUCUGGACAAUGGAACCUCCCCAUGAAAUACAACAAGUUUCAGCUGCAUAUCACAUGCCCAUUGCCUCACCUCCAAUUCUUUGAGGUAGUUAACGGUUGUUUCUUG